UAGGGAAUCUUCGGCAAUGGACGGAAGUCUGACCGAGCAACGCCGCGUGAGUGAAGAAGGUUUUCGGAUCGUAAAGCUCUGUUGUAAGAGAAGAACGAGUGUGAGAGUGGAAAGUUCACACUGUGACGGUAUCUUACCAGAAAGGGACGGCUAACUACGUGCCAGCAGCCGCGGUAAUACGUAGGUCCCGAGCGUUGUCCGGAUUUAUUGGGCGUAAAGCGAGCGCAGGCGGUUAGAUAAGUCUGAAGUUAAAGGCUGUGGCUUAACCAUAGUACGCUUUGGAAACUGUUUAACUUGAGUGCAAGGGGGGAGAGUGGAAUUCCAUGUGUAGCGGUGAAAUGCGUAGAUAUAUGGAGGAACACCGGUGGCGAAAGCGGCUCUCUGGCUUGUAACUGACGCUGAGGCUCGAAAGCGUGGGGAGCAAACAGGAUUAGAUACCCUGGUAGUCCACGCCGUAAACGAUGAGUGCUAGGUGUUAGACCCUUUCCGGGGUUUAGUGCCGCAGCUAACGCAUUAAGCACUCCGCCUGGGGAGUACGACCGCAAGGUUG
rnacentral:rRNA from 1 species